AAAGUUAACAACAGCAAUGAAAUGGGCUCCAACACAAGUUUAUUAAGAGCUACUGAAAUGUCUUUGUUUUGUGCAUUUCAUUUGAGUCUCAGUCAUAACUUGAUUCAUAAACUUAACAAGGCAGGUUAUGAGCCCGGGGUACACAGAGAGGUGAGUGGGCUCCUGGCUUACUGUAAGUAAUUAUUGGAUAUCACAUGGAAAACUACUCAACAAAUAAAACAGUGAGAAGAAGACAGACAUUACAGUAACACUGUCAAGAAUGGCUGGAUUUCACAAACAGUUAAGGGGGAGUUAAGUGAGAUGGACAAGCUGCACAGACAGCUGGGAGCACUGAAGACCUUUUGGGAAGUGGAAUCUUGCAAGGAUAACACUGCCUGGGAACUAUAUCAAGAGUACCAUGCUGUUCUGAGAUGAUCUAGAUUGUCUGUUUACUUACAGAAGAGACCACUGACCUGCUGGAAAUUAUAGAGGAAGGGAUUGAAAAUGACACCAUGCAGCCAGAUUAUACUAAUGCUGCUAUUCAAGCCUUGAAGCUGCAAAAAGUGUCCCAUCCUAAUUACACAUCCCCAGCUGAGGUCCCUCGGUAAUAGCUUUCUCCUAGAGAAAAGAGAUGGUCCUGAAACCUGAAGUCUUCCUCUGUAUUAGUCAUGCAGAAGCCACCAAAGCAGGGGCUGGUGCUGGAGCGUGUUGGAGCUGCUGCAGAGGAUCCUGUUGACUUGAAUGGACAUUGGAGGGGAUCCUAGAGCACAGGCUCAAGUGAGGCCCAUAUCCCUCCCUGAACAAACCUUGGCUUCACCAGGACUGACACGAGGGACCCCAUGGAUGGCACACACCAAAGUGUGUGUGUGGCUGUGGAGGGAAGCUGAGGGUGGUGAGAGUGGGUCUGUUCCCAACCAGGACGGAGACAACAUCUUGUAAGGAACUGCACAAUGAAACCUGCUGAUUUAUGGACAAGCAGUACUUGUUCUGGCAAAAAAUAGCUUCCAAUUAGCCUGAAAACAGACUGUUCUGGGUGGAUUUGCAGACUCUUAUUUAUUGGCAAACUUCAUUUUAAUAUAAUCAGCCGCUUGACAGGCAGGUUAGGUAAUGAUCCUUGAUGUGAGCACUAACGGAUUUGAACACUAAGCACAGCCUUUAGUGCCCAGAGCCCUCUGCCAGCAGCUGAAAUGCAUUUGAUAUCAAAAUGCCAUGGGAACCCAGGAAAACCCUUGCCAGAGCACCUUGCUGAGUAAAACACUGCCUUCAAUAAUUCACAAUGUCUGUUCAGUAAGCUGGUGUGUAUGUGCAGGGAGGGGGGUAAUAAAACAUCUCAGACCUGGCCUGCCAGGAUAAUUCAGUGGCUAGUUAAAUCUCUCAGCACUAUUAAUCAAUAAAGUGGUUCACAGCAUAAAUAAAUACAGAAUGUAAUAUGACAGGGCUAUGGGAGCACAUGGAAAGUGAAUCUCCCUCUCCUGUGUGUGAUGCUAAGUGCCAUACUGCUCCAGCAGUUAUUUGAAUAACCUCAAUGCUCUAAUACUUCAAACACUCAGACCUCCUACCAGUGUUAUCCCAUGUUUCAAUGUCACCACGUGUUUUAAACUCUGCUCUGUGUAUGAUGCAGGGAGCUGGCUGUGAAACUUAGGGAGCAGAUCGAGGACUCCAUCACUUAAUUCAGUCUCUUAUUUUGCUGAUCAAGAGCUGAUGUUGUGAGUGGAGGAUCACUCCUUUCCUAAGAAUAAAGCAUUUUACCAGUGCUGGAAUGAUGUUUCUGCAGGUCCCUGGUGAGGUAUGAACAAAUACUCUUGACACAACUUAUACUGCUGCUGUAAAUCUGCAGAUGUUUUCAGAGCUCCAAAGUAAUCUACUCCUUCAGCCUCUGUAGGAAUGCAACACAACAAGCAGUGUUCAAAACUCGCUUUUCCUGGUGAAUUUGCUGCAAUUUUACUGUAAUCUCUAUCUUAUCCUUACUGUAACUGAACCAGAAUCCAGUCUGCUAGCAGACAACAGAAACCAGUAUGAUUAAACAAUGUCAUUUUAAUUUUCCAUUAAAUUCAGCCUGUAGCUUCCCUUCUA